rnacentral:snRNA from 1 species
GUAGGCAAGGGAAGUCGG